rnacentral:rRNA from 1 species
UACAGAGGUCCCGAGCGUUGUUCGGAUUCACUGGGCGUAAAGGGUGCGUAGGCGGCAGGGUAAGUCGGAUGUGAAAUCUCCGAGCUCAACUCGGAAACUGCAUUGGAAACUACCCAGCUAGAGGGUUGGAGGGGGGACUGGAAUACUUGGUGUAGCAGUGAAAUGCGUAGAUAUCAAGUGGAACACCAGUGGCGAAGGCGAGUCCCUGGACAACUCCUGACACUGAGGCACGAAAGCUAGGGGAGCAAACAGG